rnacentral:rRNA from 1 species
CCUACGGGAGGCAGCAGUGAGGAAUAUUGGUCAAUGGUCGGGAGACUGAACCAGCCAAGCCGCGUGAGUGAGGAAGGUACAGAGUAUCGUAAACCUCUUUUGUCAGGGAACAAAGGCGGGGACGUGUCUCCGGAUGAGUGUACCUGAAGAAAAAGCAUCGGCAAACUCCGUGCCAGCAGCCGCGGUAAUACGGAGGAGGAGAGCGUUAUCCGGGUUUAUUGGGUUAAAAGGGUGGGCAGGGGGUCUGUUAAGUCAGCGGUAAAAGCCCGGGGGCCAACCCCGGCCCGCCGUUGAAACUGGGAGUCUCGAGUUGGAGAGAGGUAUGCGGAAUGCGCGGUGUAGCGGUGAAAUGCGUGGAUAUCGCGCAGAACUCCGGUUGCGAAGGCAGCAUGCCGGCUCCACACUGACGCUGAGGCACGAAAGCGUGGGUAUCGAACAGGAUUAGAUACCCUUGUAGUC